rnacentral:rRNA from 1 species
UACGUAGGUGGCAAGCGUUAUCCGGAUUUAUUGGGCGUAAAGCGAGCGCAGGUGGUUUAUUAAGUCUGGUGUAAAAGGCAGUGGCUCAACCAUUGUAUGCAUUGGAAACUGGUAGACUUGGGUGCAGGAGAGGAGAGUGGAAUUCCAUGUGUAGCGGUGAAAUGCGUAGAUAUAUGGAGGAACACCGGUGGCGAAAGCGGCUCUCUGGCCUGUAACUGACACUGAGGCUCGAAAGCGUGGGGAGCAAACAGG